rnacentral:rRNA from 1 species
GUUAAUGGCAGUAAUAACCUGGAAGCCCCAUAUCCUGUCUGGUCUUGGAAGGUAAGCAGGGUCAGGUUUAUUUAGUAGUUGGAAGGGAGAACACCAAGGAAUAUCAGAUGCUGUGGACU